AUUGAACGCUGGCGGCAGGCUUAACACAUGCAAGUCGAGCGAGCGGCGGACGGGUGAGUAAUGUCUGGGAAACUGCCUGAUGGAGGGGGAUAACUACUGGAAACGGUAGCUAAUACCGCAUACCAUCAGAUGUGUCCAGAUGGGAUUAGCUUGGAGGUGGGGUAAUGGCUCACCUAGGCGACUAUCCCUAGCUGGUCUGGGAGGAUGACCCACCACGCUAGAACUGUGGCACGGUCCAGACUCCGACGGUGGGCAGCAGUGGGGAAUAUUGCACAAUGGGAGCAAGCCUAAUGCAGCCAUGCCGCGUGUGUGAAGAAGGCCUUCGGGUUGUAAAGCACUUUCAGCGAGGAGGCGUUACUCGCAGAAGAAGCACCGGCUAACUCCGUGCCAGCAGCCGCGGUAAUAC
rnacentral:rRNA from 1 species